rnacentral:lncRNA from 1 species
AUGGCCCACACCCUGCCAACCUGGCACCAAGAAGGUGCUUGGCCAAGGAAGAGGGGUCACAGGGCCAGGGGGCUGAGCCUGGGCCGCUGCCUCCAUCAGCUGGAAACAUGCCCACGUGUGCCUACCCCAGGGCUGCUGCUGGCAGCGGGGGGCCCAAGGCUCUGCCUGGAACUGAGGGCGGCACCCAGGCUGGGUGUCCCCCUGCCCCCCCAGCUUUGGAGGGGCCACUUGACUGGGACGUGUGUCUGCCCUGGCUGCCUCCCCCAAGCCAGCUCCCAGCCCAAAGGAGACACGUGCCAGGAGAUGUGGUCCAGCCCCCACCCCACCCCAACUGCACGCCCACCCUCAGUGGGCCAGGGUGGAGGUGAGGGUGGCGGGUGGCCUGUGGGGGCGGCCACUUCCCUUCCUCCUCCCCUGUCCCCCUCCCCCUGGACUGGAGCAGCUUUGAUCGACUUUCAAGGUGUGGGAAAUAUGAAAUGCAUGGUGUUAAAUCUCAGGCCACUGGAUGAAAGCCUCGCUCCCUCCCCGAGUGCCGGCCAGAUGGCAGCGCGGCCUCCGAGGCACACGCCUGGCCUUUGUGGGCCGUUUAACGCUGUGAAUGGGGCCAAAGUGUGGGAAAGUCGCUGGGCUCCCGGCUCACACGUCCGAGUCACUGAGGGGUGGAAAGAAGCCAAGGGUCCAUCCCAAGCUGAGGAUGAGAACACACAGUCUGUCCCUGGGGCAGUGACACUCAGCCUUGGGAAGGGAGGACACGGAUGCCCGCGGCUGCGGGGACGAGCCCUGAGGAUGUCACGCCGAGUGGCAUCAGCGACACAGAGGCCCGAGGCCUGUGUGAUGCACUCCCGAUGUCCCUGGAGGAGCCGGAGUCCAGACGGAACGUCGGAGGAUGGGGCCGGGCCGGGGAGGGGACGGGACGUUCGUUUGGGAAGAAGAGAACGGUCUGGAGGUGGCGGGGGUGACGGUUGCAGGACAGGAACAUGCUUCAUGCCACUGAGCUGGGCACUCAGAAGUGGGUGAGAUGGUGAAUUUCAGGUUAUGUGAAAUUGAACAAGGACGAUUCCUUGGCAAAGAGCCCCUCCCUCCUCCCGCCAGGCCCUCGCCCAGUCUCAGCUGACCCUGUGCCAGAGGGGACAGGGUCUGAGGGGACACCCCAGCCCCUGCCUGCCGCAGAGUGGGAUCCUAAGGAGCAGCAGGUGGCCCCUAGAGGGUUUCCUGCUGGGAGGUGGGGAUGAGGCAGGCGGAGGAGGGCAGGAGUGAGGCUGGGCUUCCCUGGGAAAGGGGGGACAGGAUGAUCCAUGGUGGCCGCCAGGCUGCACACAGCACGGAGCCAGGCGCCCCUGGGGUUGUUCUGGGCCCUGGCCCUGGCCCUGGCCCCUCCAAACGCAGCACGGUGCCCCCGCCCCCCCCCUGCAGACCCCUGAGGAGGCGCCCAGGACAGCAGGGAGGCGCUAGCUCAUGUCCCAGGUGUGAAGGGAGUCCAGCCCCUGCCACGCAAGCCCCCUGGGGGCCCUGGAGGGCUGGGACUGUAGGCUGCUGUGUCUGGGGGCCGGGAGGGGGUUGGUCUCUCCGUGGGGAGCCUGGCAGGGCUGAAGGGGCAGUGGGGAGAGUCCCAGUUGCUGCGCCUCUAUGAGGCCCUGGGCAGGAGCAGGAAUCCACCUCCUUAGAAGGGCCUGCGAGGUGAGGGCCCCCCUCCACGGCGGGGACCCGGGGGUCACGGAGGUUAAGCCGUGUCCGGGAUCCUGUGCUCGGGACAGCUGACUGGGUGAUGACGAUGAGACACUGUUUUCAACCACUUCUUGCUAUUUCACACCGGGCAGGGCUAAGCACCCCGGUAUAUGCACCAGCGUAGACCUGCCUGCGGACCGGAGCCAGCAUUGGUAUCCCCUUUGCCCAGAGCCCAUGGGCAUAGAGAGAUUGCUGGAGCCACGGGGGGGCGGGGGGACUCAAACCUGCGGAGGUGGGUGGAGGGAGGGAAGGGGUGCGCCAAGCCGGGCUGGGCUCUCCCCUCCACGUGGAC